rnacentral:rRNA from 1 species
GAUUAAGUUAUUAAGGGCGCACGGUGGAUGCCUUGGCACUAGAAGCCGAUGAAGGACGUUACUAACGACGAUAUGCUUUGGGGAGCUGUAAGUAAGCUUUGAUCCAGAGAUUUCCGAAUGGGGAAACCCAGCAUGAGUUAUGUCAUGUUAUCGAUAUGUGAAUACAUAGCAUAUCAGAAGGCACACCCGGAGAACUGAAACAUCUUAGUACCCGGAGGAAGAGAAAGAAAAUUCGAUUCCCUUAGUAGCGGCGAGCGAAACGGGAAGAGCCCAAACCAACAAGCUUGCUUGUUGGGGUUGUAGGACACUCUAUACGGAGUUACAAAGGACGACAUUAGACGAAUCAUCUGGAAAGAUGAAUCAAAGAAGGUAAUAAUCCUGUAGUCGAAAAUGUUGUCUCUCUUGAGUGGAUCCUGAGUACGACGGAGCACGUGAAAUUCCGUCGGAAUCUGGGAGGACCAUCUCCUAAGGCUAAAUACUCUCUAGUGACCGAUAGUGAACCAGUACCGUGAGGGAAAGGUGAAAAGCACCCCGGAAGGGGAGUGAAAUAGAACCUGAAACCGUGUGCUUACAAGUAGUCAGAGCCCGUUAAUGGGUGAUGGCGUGCCUUUUGUAGAAUGAACCGGCGAGUUACGAUUUGAUGCAAGGUUAAGCAGUAAAUGUGGAGCCGUAGCGAAAGCGAGUCUGAAUAGGGCGUUUAGUAUUUGGUCGUAGACCCGAAACCAGGUGAUCUACCCUUGGUCAGGUUGAAGUUCAGGUAACACUGAAUGGAGGACCGAACCGACUUACGUUGAAAAGUGAGCGGAUGAACUGAGGGUAGCGGAGAAAUUCCAAUCGAACCUGGAGAUAGCUGGUUCUCUCCGAAAUAGCUUUAGGGCUAGCCUCAAGUGAUGAUUAUUGGAGGUAGAGCACUGUUUGGACGAGGGGCCCCUCUCGGGUUACCGAAUUCAGACAAACUCCGAAUGCCAAUUAAUUUAACUUGGGAGUCAGAACAUGGGUGAUAAGGUCCGUGUUCGAAAGGGAAACAGCCCAGACCACCAGCUAAGGUCCCAAAAUAUAUGUUAAGUGGAAAAGGAUGUGGCGUUGCCCAGACAACUAGGAUGUUGGCUUAGAAGCAGCCAUCAUUUAAAGAGUGCGUAAUAGCUCACUAGUCGAGUGACACUGCGCCGAAAAUGUACCGGGGCUAAACAUAUUACCGAAGCUGUGGAUUGUCCUUUGGACAAUGGUAGGAGAGCGUUCUAAGGGCGUUGAAGCAUGAUCGUAAGGACAUGUGGAGCGCUUAGAAGUGAGAAUGCCGGUGUGAGUAGCGAAAGACGGGUGAGAAUCCCGUCCACCGAUUGACUAAGGUUUCCAGAGGAAGGCUCGUCCGCUCUGGGUUAGUCGGGUCCUAAGCUGAGGCCGACAGGCGUAGGCGAUGGAUAACAGGUUGAUAUUCCUGUACCACCUAUAAUCGUUUUAAUCGAUGGGGGGACGCAGUAGGAUAGGCGAAGCGUGCGAUUGGAUUGCACGUCUAAGCAGUAAGGCUGAGUAUUAGGCAAAUCCGGUACUCGUUAAGGCUGAGCUGUGAUGGGAAGAAGACAUUGUGUCUUCGAGUCGUUGAUUUCACACUGCCGAGAAAAGCCUCUAGAUAGAAAAUAGGUGCCCGUACCGCAAACCGACACAGGUAGUCAAGAUGAGAAUUCUAAGGUGAGCGAGCGAACUCUCGUUAAGGAACUCGGCAAAAUGACCCCGUAACUUCGGGAGAAGGGGUGCUCUUUAGGGUUAACGCCCAGAAGAGCCGCAGUGAAUAGGCCCAAGCGACUGUUUAUCAAAAACACAGGUCUCUGCUAAACCGUAAGGUGAUGUAUAGGGGCUGACGCCUGCCCGGUGCUGGAAGGUUAAGAGGAGUGGUUAGCUUCUGCGAAGCUACGAAUCGAAGCCCCAGUAAACGGCGGCCGUAACUAUAACGGUCCUAAGGUAGCGAAAUUCCUUGUCGGGUAAGUUCCGACCCGCACGAAAGGCGUAACGAUUUGGGCACUGUCUCAACGAGAGACUCGGUGAAAUCAUAGUACCUGUGAAGAUGCAGGUUACCCGCGACAGGACGGAAAGACCCCGUGGAGCUUUACUGUAGCCUGAUAUUGAAAUUCGGCACAGCUUGUACAGGAUAGGUAGGAGCCUUUGAAACGUGAGCGCUAGCUUACGUGGAGGCGCUGGUGGGAUACUACCCUAGCUGUGUUGGCUUUCUAACCCGCACCACUUAUCGUGGUGGGAGACAGUGUCAGGCGGGCAGUUUGACUGGGGCGGUCGCCUCCUAAAAGGUAACGGAGGCGCUCAAAGGUUCCCUCAGAAUGGUUGGAAAUCAUUCAUAGAGUGUAAAGGCAUAAGGGAGCUUGACUGCGAGACCUACAAGUCGAGCAGGGUCGAAAGACGGACUUAGUGAUCCGGUGGUUCCGCAUGGAAGGGCCAUCGCUCAACGGAUAAAAGCUACCCCGGGGAUAACAGGCUUAUCUCCCCCAAGAGUUCACAUCGACGGGGAGGUUUGGCACCUCGAUGUCGGCUCAUCGCAUCCUGGGGCUGUAGUCGGUCCCAAGGGUUGGGCUGUUCGCCCAUUAAAGCGGUACGCGAGCUGGGUUCAGAACGUCGUGAGACAGUUCGGUCCCUAUCCGUCGUGGGCGUAGGAAAUUUGAGAGGAGCUGUCCUUAGUACGAGAGGACCGGGAUGGACAUACCUCUGGUGUACCAGUUGUCGUGCCAACGGCAUAGCUGGGUAGCUAUGUGUGGACGGGAUAAGUGCUGAAAGCAUCUAAGCAUGAAGCCCCCCUCAAGAUGAGAUUUCCCAACUUCGGUUAUAAGAUC